rnacentral:rRNA from 1 species
UACAGAGGGUGCAAACGUUGUUCGGAAUUACUGGGCGUAAAGCGCGUGUAGGCGGUCCUGUAGGUCAGGUGUGAAAUCCCCCGGCUCAACCGAGGAAGUGCACUUGAAACCCCAGGACUUGAGUGUUGGAGAGGAAGGCGGAAUUGUCGGUGUAGAGGUGAAAUUCGUAGAUAUCGACAGGAACACCUGCGGCGAAAGCGGCCUUCUGGACAAACACUGACGCUGAGACGCGAAAGCGUGGGGAGCAAACAGGAUUAGAAACCCGAGUAGU